rnacentral:ncRNA from 1 species
UCUCGACAAAGGCAAACCCUCCGCGAGGGGGGGACGCAAAGCCCACGGAACUCCGCUGCUCCGCUCUUCUCUCAGGGCAGCACGGAAGUUGGCCGGGCCACCGAA